GAGUUGGGAAAGCUGCAUUUGGCGGUCCGUUGGGGUCAAUCCCCACCCGGCUA
rnacentral:ncRNA from 1 species